CGUCCCCUUGCCGGUGGCAGGAGAGCAGGAGGAUAUGCUUCGCGUCUUGGGGAGACACCUCCUGCCCCUUUGCCGCCCCCCGUUCCCCACUGGGUCACCUCAGCACCUGGCCAAACAGCUGGUCCCCAUUUGCCCGAGCUAGCGCGAGCCCAGGACGUGAGGAGGGAGGCUGCCCUCUGCCCCGCGGGGAGGCCUGCCUGGGAUCCUGGAGGGUUGAGGAGGGGCCGCAGAGGCAGGUGGGAGGAGGCCUGGGCCAAGCUUCCUCAGAGCUGGGGCCACCAGCCGGAAAGAGCUCUGGAAACCGGCCUUGCUUUUCCCCUCGCUGCCGGGAAUGCCCACACGAGAGUAGCUCAAGUUAAUGAGCAAACUGCCCAGGCCAGGAAGGCAGGCGGCUCUCGGGCACCCCGCCUCCCUGCUCAAGCACAGGCAGCACUUGAAUGCCACUUGCCGGACCAAGGGAGGGCGGCAGAUGCUCUGGGACGUUUCCCCUUUGGAGGCUGCUCGAGAUACCUGGCUGAUAAAGGGCUGAUUUGCAGAGACUUAAUUAUGGCCCGAAGCCCUCAGUGUAAACAAUGGGAUUUCCUACUCAGGGGCUGCAACUCCCAGCCUUGGGUUCGAGUCCAGCUCCAUCUCCCAGGAGAUCCAUCCCUCCAUCCUCUGAGGCUUCGUUCCCUGGGCCUGGGUGGGGUCACCAGGCACCAGGCUUAGCCCAAGGCAGGCAAG
rnacentral:lncRNA from 1 species